UUGAAAACUGCAGAGUAGAUUUGCUUGGAUCUGUUUUAUAAAAAUAGUUUUUUUGAAAACUGAGUUAGUAGAUAGUUAAGGUUUUCAGAGAACAACAAUUUGUUGUUUUCAGAGUUUUGGGAACACUGAGAUGCAAAAUUGGAAAACACGGAGAACUGAACGCUACUUAAAAGUACAGACAACAAUUACGUAAACUCUUGCUCGUUUAUAACGUUGUCCACAUAUUUCUCUGUGGCUCCGGAUCCACUAGAUUUUUCAUUCACGAUUGACUAGGUUUCUCUCUCUAUUCACAUAAAGCUAUCAAUCUCUUUUUCU